rnacentral:rRNA from 1 species
AACGAACGCUGGCGGCAUGCCUAACACAUGCAAGUCGAACGAGACCUUCGGGUCUAGUUGCGCACGUGUGCGUAACGCGGGGGAACCUGCCCUUAGGUUCGGAAUAACUCCCCGAAAGGUGUGCUAAUACCGGAUAAUGUCUUCGGACCAAAGAUUUAUCGCCUUUGGAUGGGCCCGCGUUGGAUUAGCUAGUUGGUAGGGUAAAAGCCUACCAAGGCGACGAUCCAUAGCUGGUCUGAGAGGAUGAUAAGCCACACUGGGACUGAGACACGGCCCAGACUCGUACGGGAGGGAGCAGUGGGGAAUAUUGGACGCUGAGCGCAAGCCUGAUCCAGCCAUGCCGCGUGAGUGAUGAAGGCCUUAGGGUUGUAAAGCUCUUUUACCCGGGAUGAUAGUGACAGUACCGGGAGAAUAAGCUCCGGCUAACUCCGUG